GGGUUUAUAGCUCAGUUGGUUAGAGCACUACCUUGACAUGGUAGGGGUCGUUGGUAACAGCUUGAAUAUA
rnacentral:tRNA from 1 species